AUACGUAGGUGGCAAGUGUUAUCCGGAAUUAUUGGGCGUAAAGAGUGAGCAGGCGGUUAAUUAAGUCUGAGGUUAAAGCGUGGGGCUCAACCCCAUAAAGCCUUGGAAACUGAUUGACUAGAGUACGGGAGAAGUGAAGGGAACUCCAUGUGUAGCAGUGAGAUGCGUAGAUAUAUGGAAGAACACCAGUGGCGAAGGCGCUUCACUAGCCCGAAACUGACGCUCAGUCACGAAAGCGUGGGUAGCAAAUAGGAUUAGAUACCCUAGUAGUCCACGCUGUAAACGAUGACAACUAAAUAUUGCCGCGAGGCAGUGUUGAAGCUAACGCAUUAAGUUGUCCGCCUGGGGAGUACGGUCGCAAGACUGAAACUUAAAGGAAUUGACGGGG
rnacentral:rRNA from 1 species